GACGAACGCUGGCGGCGUGCUUAACACAUGCAAGUCGAACGGAAAGGCCCUGCUUUUGUGGGGUGCUCGAGUGGCGAACGGGUGAGUAACACGUGAGUAACCUGCCCUUGACUUUGGGAUAACUUCAGGAAACUGGGGCUAAUACCGGAUAGGAGCUCCUGCUGCAUGGUGGGGGUUGGAAAGUUUCGGCGGUUGGGGAUGGACUCGCGGCUUAUCAGCUUGUUGGUGGGGUAGUGGCUUACCAAGGCUUUGACGGGUAGCCGGCCUGAGAGGGUGACCGGCCACAUUGGGACUGAGAUACGGCCCAGACUCCUACGGGAGGCAGCAGUGGGGAAUAUUGCACAAUGGGCGGAAGCCUGAUGCAGCAACGCCGCGUGCGGGAUGACGGCCUUCGGGUUGUAAACCGCUUUCGCCUGUGACGAAGCGUGAGUGACGGUAACGGGUAAAGAAGCACCGGCUAACUACGUA
rnacentral:rRNA from 1 species